rnacentral:lncRNA from 1 species
GUUGGCUGGGAGGCGGUCACGUGGCGCAGGAUGCACCCAACACCACCGUCGCAGGCAGAGUCCCGCCCCGCCAGGCGACGUCACGUGACGCACAUUCGCUCAAGUCCACAUCCGGGCAUCCACCUGGCCCUGGGGCGGAGCCUGCGGUCGGGUCUCGGCGACCCGCCGGGACUUUCUAAUCAGAGUCGUGGGGAUUUUACGGGUGGAGUUACUCCGAAACCUUUAAGGCCGAGUGUGAUAGGUAGUUCAAAGCUUCCUGUUUCUUCAGUCUGACAGCUUCAAAUGUCCCGGGUUGUGCUCAAAGCCUCCCUCUUGUGAGAAGAAUCUCUUUGGUUGCCUGUUAAAGCGGUCAGCCAGCUUGCAACACGGAAGCAGCUUUUAGAGGAAUUAAAACCAAAACAAGGAGCAAAUUCUGGAUUAAAAAGGUAUUAGGGAAACUGCAGAUACCUGAAAAUUCUAGCUCCAUGUUUCUCUUUGCCGGCUAUCUCUGGCUCUUUAACUCUUCUCGAGAAAUGGCACCAACAUCCAUCCAGUUACCGACUAGAAGCCUGAGAAAUCGUCCUUAAUGAUUAUUUAUCCUCUCUUAACCUUUGCCCGUCCAGUCGGUCACACGAUCUUCUCAACUCUGCUUUCCAAGUUUCUCUCAUGCCCAUCUUUUUCCCCCCAAUCCAGCUUCCAGCCUAAUCUCAUUCCCUAAAUUGCACUAGUACCCACUCUGACCGCAGACUCCACUCCCUAUAUUCUUCAUAGAUUAAUAUUUUUACAAAACAAGUAUCAAAUAGGAAACUUUACAAUGGCUCCCUAUUGCAUUUAAGGUGAAUUUCAAACUCCUUUAAGAUAUUUUGUCCUUAAAGAGCCCCAUGAUUCCUGGUUCCAUCACUUGUACAUUUUCUUUAAUUUUCUUAAAAUUCUUGCCACUUUUGCCAAUGCUGUUCUGUCAAGAACACUCUUUCCCUUGGCCGAACUUACUCCUAUGUAUACUGAAGUUUCACUGUACAGAUGAAUUCUUCCAGAAAGACUUAUCUACCCCUAAAGCCCCUGAGUGUCUGCUUUACACUUUCUUAGUGCCCUGCAUUUUCCCCUUGGUAUUCCUUGUGACACUGACUUGUCGUUCAUUGCCUGUUUCUUGAAGUUGAAUAAGGGCAGGAACUACAUCUGCUUUGUUCAUAGCUAAAUUGUCAGCAUCUCGUUGCAAUUUGAAGUAAGUAGUAAAUAUUCACUGGGACAAUAAAGGAACAAAUAAAUGAAAACGAAACAAAUGUUUUGAAUCUAGGCAUUCUUUAUGAAGGUGUGUUGUUGUUUUUUAAAGGUAGCUAACACAUGCUUGCUCUAGUCUGGGUACCCAUCCUGGCUUGAGUGGAAGAGGCUGAAACACCCUUCUCCAGCCAACAACUCCCUCGUUUUCCAAGUUAACCAGACCAACUCCAUUAACCCUCAGUUUACUGCCACUGGGCAAUGUGGCUUAUAUGUGUAGAAGCAUCAAGAAGGAAUGGGCAGAGAGGUUUUUUGUUGUUUGAGGUCAGAAAAUUAUGAAGUGGAACAUGAGAGCAGAGAAUAGGGCCAGCUUCAUGAGCAGGCAACCGGUGCUUAGAAGGGCUGUACAUUUGGUUUAAUGCUCUGCUGUUGCCGUCUUGAAAUGCUUAGGAGUUUAUAUUUGAACUUAUGUUUUGUAAGUGAUGUCUGAUGAGACAAUGGAGCAAUCUUGUGAGCAGAUGUGAUUCAUGCAAUGUGUGUGUCUGUCACUGUUUCUUGCCCCAUGUCAUACAAUGUUCAGGAUGCGCACUAAAUGGCCUCCAUGAACCACUUAUUUUGUAGUUAGGGACCUAAGUACAAAGUGCUCAGAAGGGCUCACCCUUGCCCUCUUGAAAUUAUUAUUAUUUUCUUUGAGACGGAGUUUUGCUGUGUCUCCCAGGUUGGAGUGCAGUGACAUCAUCUUAGCUCACUGCAACCUCUGCCUCCCAGGUUCAAGCAGUUCUCCUGCCUCAGCCUCCCAGGUAGCUGGGAUUACAGGGACCCACCACUACGCCCCCUAAUUUUUGUAUUUUUUUGUAGAGACAGAGUUUUGCCAUGUUGCCUAGGCUGGUCUCAAACUCCUGAGCUCAAGUGAUCUGUCUGCCUCAGCCUUCCAAACUGGGAUUACAGGCUAAGCCAUCAUGCCCAACCACGUUACUAUAUUUUCUAACCACUUACACUAAAAGUGAUGGCAUGAAAGGAAAAGGAAAGAUAAGACAUUCCACAAUUCCUUUUCUUUUCAGUCUUUCUCUACUUAUCGGUAAGCUGAAGGUUUUUGUCUUGGAUUUUGAACAAGGAGCAUCAUAUUUUCAUUUCACAUUGACCCACACAGAUUAUAUAGCUGGCCCUGACCAAAGGCUUUGAGGUUCUGACUUUUUGAGGGGUGUCUUCCCCGUUCCCAAUUUAAAAAUGGGUCAGACUUCAAAUCAGGUGUUUAUUAUAGAGCCCUAAAGAAUAGAAAUGGCUGAAUUUAGGGGCAGUGAGGGAAAAUACCACCAGAGUCCUAGCAUGAGUAACUUUUGUACAUCAAAAUGUUCUACUGCCGCUGAUUUUAGGGAACUGAAUUACUGUUGGAAUCAAUAGCUCUUUUAAAAUUUUGUGGAAACUACAACUCUUCCCAGGAAGAAUGCACAUAUUCCUUUUUGAACAAAAAUAUGCAUAUUUCAAAGAGUACUAAAUGGUGGACUGGAGUUUGAACCCAGGAAGCCUGGCUCCAAAGUCCAUGCUAUUAACAGCUGGACUAUGUUCUGCGACUUCUCCCUUUUGUUAUAUCACAGUUGUACCCAGCCUAAUUCAGAGAUAAUCCAUGGUUUAAUUAUAUCGCAAAGUACAGUGUAGGAACACAUCAUCUAGCUGACAAACUGAGAAGAACCUAUGAAAGGGUAACCAAUUAGUGAAAAUUCUUUGUUUAAUUUAAUAGAUGUUUAGAAUAGUUAUGGUAUAAUUCAAAUCAUUUUAACUUCUUAAAAAGCUUGCUCUCAAAUGAUAGUGAAUAUUUGUAGCUGCAUUACUUUCAAGGUUUUUCAAAAUGUGAAUGCAUGUUAUUUCUACUUUCAUUGGUUUUAACUUUAUGAUGUAUUUAAAAUAUAAUGAGCACUCACAUUCUCCCCU